AAAUGUUUGGUGUAUCAAGAAGCAUUGUCUUGAAAGUAAUGACGGCCUUUGAGAAAGAGGGAAAAACCUUCUCGUCGAAGCAAAACUCUGGAAGAAAACCAAAACUCUCAGAUAGGGACCGUCGGACUCUCACGAGAAUUGUUAGAAAGGAUCGCAAAAGUACAGCUCUCAAAAUUAGAGCAGAGCUUAAUGACCAUCCCGAGAACCUAGUUUCCACAAAAUCUGUUUGCCGGUUGCUGCACGAAACUGGAUUUCACGGAAAGGCUGCAAUCAGAAAACCUCUACUUUCAAAAAGAAUUUGUCCCCGGAGAUGUGGAAUAAUGUUUUCUCAAACGAGUCAUCCUUAACCUUAUUUCCGACCAUGUUUAAAAAAAAAAUGAGAAAGAGAGAGAGAGAGAGAGAGAGAGAGAGAGAGAGAGAGAGAGAGAGAGAGAGAGAGAGAGAGAGAGAGAGAAAAGAACGAAAGGAAAAAGGUAAGAAAACGUGCUAUGCAAUGAGAGAAAUAGAUUUAAUAGUUUAGCGAGGAGCUAGCGCUGCAGCGCGCUGUUUGAAGUAAGAGAAAGGAAUUUGUCUUCACGAAGUUGCCUUGUUGGAUUGGAGCGAUCAGUGACAAAUGUCAGACGAUGUUUUUGGUAUAAUGAUUCACAAGUGCUUGCUGUUUUAUUGUAAACUAAUUCAAUACUAACCAAGUACUAUCGAAUGUGUUACUUCCUGUUCGUGUUUUUCCAUCGAAUGUGUUACUUCUUAGUUCGUGUUUUUGCCGUAUUUUGUAUUCGGUGUAAUAUUUGUACCACGUUGUUUCUGGGGUCUUAGUUUUGUAAAAUACUUGUACCAGUCAGUGUUAAGAAUGUAAGGCAAAAUUAACCUACCGUUUUUGCCGGUUUGGACUGAGAUAUGUAUAGCUGUAGGAUAUUUUGCAGAGCAGUGUUUCUUACUCAUUUCAAAAGUCAAAUAAUCACUGAACGCAUUUAUUCAAAAUCUAACCUGUUGUCUUUUUUUUUUUUUGAAUACGAUAAAAUUGUCGUUGACCAGAUUAUUAUGAAGUCUCCCGUUGGUUGUAAUUGUUACUCCUGUUGUUGUUGUUGUUAGCUCCUUGUCACUUGAUUCAGUAAACAGUAAUGAAAUGGCUUUCCUGCCACGUAUACUCCCGAUUGCUUACAACCGAUGCUGGUGUGUUUACGUCCCCGUAACUUAGCGGUUCGGCAAAAGAGACCGAUAGAAUAAGUACUGGGCUUACAAAGAAUAAGUCCCGGGGUCGAUUUGCUCGACUAAAGGCGGUGCUCCAGCAUGGCCGCAGUCAAAUGACUGAAACAAGUAAAAGAGUAAAAGAGUAGUUAAAAUUUGUAAUAAAUCGUUUAUAAUUCUACAAUACACAAAAUAUUUUUACCGUUUUUUAAUACAAUUCCUAAUAAUAUUUAAUUACAGAAAUAUAACAGGAUUUCUUAAACAUUAAAUGGUUAUGAGGGUCCAUCUGAGUAGCCAAAGUUAAAACAUGAUUCAGAAACACUGUUUCAGAUACAAUAUCAAUAGAGAGAGAUGCGGAUUCUGUUUUAAAAUAACAAAUGUUAGUUGUUGUUUACCCUCAGGUCAGCCCCGAUAGAGCAGACUUAUGAUCCAAAACCUUUCCUUCCGUCUUCAUCUCAUCUUUUUAGGGAUCUAAGACUUCAUACCAUAUUUAUCUUUAAAUAUGCUAUGGUUUGCAGGCUGAAGGUUAAGCGUCUGCUGUAUAGAUUAUAAUUCAAGGGAUGCAUAUAAUAUAUUAAGAUAGUGGUAAGAAAUUUGCUUCCCAAACAUAUGGUUCCGGAUUCAGUCCCACGGCGUGGCACCUUUGACACAUGCAUCUUCUACUACAGCCCUGGGCCGAUCAAAACCUUGCGAGUGGAUUUGGAAGACGGAAGCUAAAAGAAACCCAUUGUGUAUAUAUAUAUAUAUAUAUAUAUAUGUAUGUAUGUAUGUAUGUAUGUAUGUAUGUAUGUAUGUAUGUAUGUAUGUAUGUAUGUAUGUAUGUAUGUAUGUAUGUAUGUAUGUAUGUAUGUAUGUAUGUAUACGUGAAGAUUUGCAUGUGUUGUUUUAUGUAUGUAUUCUCGUGCAUAUAGGCAUAUAUCUAAACAUAUUCAUAUAUACUUAAAUGCUAAACUUCUAGAAAGUUUUACAGUGAUGGCUCGAAUCUGUAGUCUUCAAAUCAGCUUUCUACUUUCUGGUUUGAGAAGCCUAAUUUCUCAAGAUUGGUACAGGGUGGUGCAGAGAUGACGGAUGUUUUUGAAAUGAUUAUUACUUAGCCCCAGAGGAGGGACAUAUGUCCGACAGGUACCAUUCAGUCUGUGAUGUCUAAACAUACUUUUUUUUCUUUUCAGGUGAAGUCAUGGCGCUGUGGACGAUAGAGCAUCGCGUGUUUGCCUGCAACAGUUAUGUGAAGAAUAACGAGUUAGUCACAACAGUUCAGUG
rnacentral:lncRNA from 1 species